AAUAAAAUAUCUUAAAUAUAAAGAAUUACUUUGAUAAAGUAAAUAUGUUUUAAAACAUUAAACUUUUAUUG
rnacentral:tRNA from 1 species